CCCUAAAAACGCCAGGCUAAAAAGACGCGAGAGAUAAAUAAAAUACUGACUGAGAGCAGGCAUAGUGGAGGAAGAAUAUCAUACGUUUCUCACUGGGGUUUGGAGAUUGUUGAUUGGAAUCUAAGGUUAUGGGGAAAGGCAAAGAGGCAGCUGGGAAAGGCAAAGAGGCAGCUGGGAAAGGUAAGGGAAAGGCAGCUGGCGGUGGAGGAGAUGAGCCUGCUGCAAAGGGUAAAGGAAAAUCUGGAAAAGCUGCAGAUGGGCUUGGUACCUGCACAUACGUCAAAGCAAGGCAUAUCCUGUGCGAGAAGCAAGGUAAGAUCAAUGAAGCUUACAAGAAGCUAGACGAAGGUUGGUUAAGCAAUGGAGAUAAAGUUCCUCCAGCAGAGUUUGCAAAGGUUGCUGCCGAAUAUUCAGAGUGCCCAUCAGCUAAGAAAGGAGGGGACCUUGGGUGGUUUCCUAGAGGAAAAAUGGCUGGACCAUUUCAGGAAGUUGCUUUCAACACUGUAGUUGGAGCUACCAGUGCACCAUUCAAAUCAACCUUGGCAGCGUCGUUUUUGUUCCAUUAUUAAAUGUGUUUUCAACUUUUGGAAAGGAUUUUGGACCGAAACAUGUCGGUCUCAUCUUAGUUAGUAGAGGCAUGGGUACCACAUUAUCUUGUCAGAGGGGAGGAAGAAUUGAUUGGAACCGGCAAAGAUUCCAAUUUACCCUUCUUAUAUAUAUAGGUUAAGAAACAUAGUAAACAUGGGCUUGUUUCAGUCGUUUAUGAGGGCACCUGGGCCUACUACUUAAAAGCAUAAUGUUAUGAAAUAUUAACAGUUGCAUUCAAGGUUCUCCUUAAUUUGAAAAUCUAUUGGGAAAUGCGGUUCUUUGUAAA